rnacentral:rRNA from 1 species
AUAAAACAACAUAAAUAAAUCUAACUUAACUUGUUUUUGGUUGGGGCGACCAAGGGGAAAAACAAAACCCCCUUAUCGACUGAGUAUUCAACAUACUUAAAAAUUAAAACGAAUAGUUUUAAUUAAUAGAACAUCUAACGAACAAUGACCCAGGACACACAUCCUGAUCAAUGAACCAAGUUACCCUAGGGAAUAACAGCGA